UACGAAGGGGGCUAGUGUUGUUCGGAAUUACUGGGCGUAAAGCGCACGCAGGCGGAUUUAUAAGUCAGGGGUGAAGUCCCGGGGCUCAACCUCGGAAUUGCCCUUGAUACUGUCUAUCUUGAGUCCGGGAGAGGUGAGUGGAAUUCCUAGUGUAGAGGUGAAAUUCGUAGAUAUUAGGAAGAACACCAGUUGCGAAGGCGGCGCACUGGCCCGGUACUGACGCUCAUGUGCGAAAGCGUGGGGAGCAAACAGG
rnacentral:rRNA from 1 species